AGUCUGGUGCCAGCGGCCGCGGUAAUUCCAGCUCCAAUAGUGUAUAUUAAAGUUGCUGCGGUUAAAAAGCUCGUAGUUGGAUUUCGGAAUGCGUUUGCGUCAAAGCUCGUCCUUGUGGCGGUGCUGGAUGUGCGCUUCCUAGCUUUGGAUAGUUGCCCGCAAGGGAUAAACAGCUUCCAAUCAUUUACUUUGAAAAAAUUAGAGUGUUCAAAGCAGGCGUAACCUUGCCAUUGAAUAUUACAGCAUGGGAUAAUAGAAUAUGACGUUGGUCUUAUUUUGUUGGUUUCUAAGGCUGAUGUAAUGAUUAAUAGGGAUAGUUGGGGUCGCUCGUAUUGAGUUGUCAGAGGUGAAAUUCUAGGAUUUACUCAAGACGAACUAGUGCGAAAGCAUUCGACAAGGAUGUUUUCAUUAAUCAAGAACGAAAGUUGGGGGAUCGAAGAUGAUCAGAUACCGUCGUAGUCUCAACCAUAAACUAUGUGGACCAAGGAUCCGAGGACGUUACAUGGAUGACUCUCCGGGCACUUUGUGAGAAAUCAUAAGUAUUUGCAUUCCGGGGGGAGUAUGGUCGCAAGGCUGAAACUUAAAGGAAUUGACGGAAGGGCACCACCAGGAGUGGAACCUGCGGCUUAAUUUGACAACACGGGGAAACUUACCAGGUCCGGACACUAUGAGGAUUGACAGAUUAAGAGCUCUUUCUUGAUUUAGUGGGUGGUGGUGCAUGGCCGUUUUUAGUUGGUGGAGUGAUUUGUCUGGUUAAUUCCGUUAACGAACGAGACCUUAACCUAUUAAUUAGUGACGCGAAUUUGGUGGGCAACUGCCAGUCGAUUCGUGGUUGCACUUCUUAGAGGGACUCUCGGCAUCUCUAGCCGAUGGAAGUUUGAGGCAAAAACAGGUCUGUGAUGCCCUUAGAUGCCCUGGGCUGCACGCGCGUUACGCUGACGAUUGCAACGAGUGAUUUCCUUGCCCGAUGGGGCUGGGUAAGCUUUGAAAAGAUCGUCGUGAUGGGGAUUGAACCUUGCAAUUAUUGUUCAUGAACGAGGAAUUCCUAGUAAGCGCAGUUCAUCAAACUGCGCUGAUUACGUCCCUGCCCUUUGUACACACCGCCCGUCGCUCCUACCGAUUGAAUGGUCCGGUGAGAACUCAGGACGGCAGUAUUUUAGCUUAUCCGCAAGGGUAAGCCGGUACAGCCGGAAUUUGUUCAAACCUUACCAUUUAGAGGAAGGA
rnacentral:rRNA from 1 species